rnacentral:rRNA from 1 species
AAUCAACGCUGGCGGCGUGCCUCAGACAUGCAAGUCGAACGAGAAAGUUCCCUUCGGGGAGCGAGUAAAGUGGCGCACGGGUGAGUAACACGUAGGUAAUCUACCUUCGGGUGGGGAAUAACCCAGGGAAACUUGGGCUAACACCGCAUAAUGCAGCGGCACCACAUGGUGACAGUUGUUAAAGCGGGGGAUUUUCGGACCUCGCGCCUGAAGAGGAGCCUGCGGCGGAUUAGCUAGUUGGUAAGGUAACGGCUUACCAAGGCGACGAUCCGUAGCCGGCCUGAGGAGGGCGGUCGGCCACACUGACACUGACAUACGGGUCAGACUCCUAC